rnacentral:lncRNA from 1 species
UCCCUGACCCCCCAAAUCCUCCCCGACCCCCCCAGCCCCACUUUGGGGGAGUUCCGUGGGGUUUUGGGGCUUUUUUUCUCGGCGAUUUUCAGGAAUUUUGGGGAGAUUUGGGGAUUUUUUUGAGAUUUUUCGGCUGAUUUUGGGAGCUUUUUGCGAUGCUCGAGUCGAUUCCAGAUGAUUUCGGAGUGAUUUUUUUGGGAUUUUUUGGGGUGAUAUUAUUUUUUGUGGGGUGUUUUUGGUGGUUUUCAAGGAUUUUGGGGGUUUUUGGGUGGAGUUUAACGACUGUAAACUGGAAUUAAAACCAUUUUUUUCCCAAAAGGGAAGGAAAUUUGGGUUAAUUCCAUAUUUGGGAGCCCAGGAGGAGCCAAACCUCAUCCAGAUGAAUUCUGAAUUUCUGAGGAGAUUCUGGCCGGGUCUCCUCGCUUUUAAAUCCAUGAAAAUACGAGUUGGGAGAACUGACAAAAACUCCUCCCAAAAUCUGCAAGAAAAGGUGCGUAAUUCAAUUAAAUACAUCAUUUCUUAGGAUAAAUUUGGCACAGAGCUCCCAGGAAAAAGGCUCAAGGUGGAAGGAAAAAAAGAGGAUUUGGGAUUUAUUCUCCCACGGGCAAGGAGGAGACUCAACAAACUCCCGAGCCCUUUCCAAAAUGAGAAUUUGGGGGCGUUUUAUGGGUGGUGUCACACUUUGGGAUGUGCGUUUUGCCCAUUUUCACCCCAUUUCCACCAUUUUCUCCCCUCACGUUUCCCGCUCUUUUCUCCCCUCACGAUUCCCGCCCUUUUCUCCCCUCACGAUUCCCGCUCUUUUCUCCCCUCACGAUUCCCGCUCUUCCCUCAGACCAGUAUAAACCAGUUUUACGGAAUAUAUUCCCCUUCAUCCCAGUCCAGGCUGCCGAUACAACCCAGUUUAUCCCAGUAUAAACCAGUUUGUCCCAGUAUAAACCAGUUUAUCCCAGUAUAUCCCAGCCCAAACCAGUAUAACCUACUUCGACCCAAUAUAUCCCAGUAUAUCCCAGUAUGUCCCAGUAAAUCCCAGUAUACCCCAAAAUAUCCCAGUAUAUCCCAAUAUAUCCCAAAAUAUCCCGGUAAAUCUCAAUAUAUCCCAAAAUAUCCCAGUAAUUCCCAGUAUAUCCCGAUAUAUUCCAGUACAUCCCAGUAUAUCCCGAAAUAUCCCAGUAUAUCUCAAUAUAUCCCGGUAAAUCUCAAUAUAUCCCAAAAUAUCCCAGUAUAUCCUGAUAUAUCCCAGUAUAUCCCAGUAAAUCCCAGUAAAUCCCAGUAUAUCCCAAAAUAUCCCAGUAUAUCCCAAUAUAUCCCGGUAAAUCCCAGUAAAACCCAGUAUAUCACAAAAUAUCCCCGUAUAUCCCAGUAUAGCCCAAUAUAUCCCGGUAGAUCUCAAUAUAUCCCAAAAUAUCCCAGUAAUUCCCAGUAUAUCCCGAUAUAUCCCACUAUAUCCCAGUAUAUCCCGAUAUAUCCCAGUAUAUCCCAGUAUAGCCCAGUUCCCGGCCCCGCUCCCGCCCCACACGCUCACUUUGGGUUAAAAAAGCGGCUUUUCGGGUCCGGCGCGCGGA